UUCGCAAUGCCCGAAAGGGUGACGAAGCGACGCCGCGUGCGGGAAGAAGGCCUUCGGGUUGUAAACCGCUGUCGGGAGUUAAGAAAUGCAAGGAUGUUAAUAGCGUCUUUGCUUGACUAAGGCUCCGGAGGAAGCCACGGCUAACUCUGUGCCAGCAGCCGCGGUAAUACAGAGGCGGCAAGCGUUGUUCGGAAUUAUUGGGCGUAAAGAGCACGUAGGCGGCCGUGUAAGUCGGUUGUGAAAGCCUUCCGCUCAACGGAAGGACGGCAUCCGAUACUGCAUGGCUCGAGUGCGGGAGGGGAGAGUGGAACUUCUGGUGGAGCGGUGAAAUGCGUAGAUAUCAGAAGGAACACCGGCGGCGAAGGCGACUCUCUGGCCCGUAACUGACGCUGAGUGUGCGAAAGCUAGGGGAGCAAACGGGAUUAGAUACCCCGGUAGUCCUAGCCGUAAACGAUGGGCACUAAGUAGAGGGGUUUU
rnacentral:rRNA from 1 species